rnacentral:rRNA from 1 species
UAUCAGYUUGUUGUGAGGUAAUGGCUCACCAAGAGUMUGACGGGUAGCCGGCCUGAGAGGGUGACCGGCCACACUGGGACUGAGACACGGCCCAGACUCUACGGGAGGCAGCAGUGGGGAAUAUUGCACAAUGGGCGAAAGCCUGAUGCAGCAACGCCGCGUGAGGGAUGACGGCUUCGGGUUGUAAACCUCUUUUAGUAAGGAAGAAGCGAAAGUGACGGUACUUGCAGAAAAAGCGCCGGCUAACUACGUGCCAGCAGCCGCGGUAAUACGUAGGGCGCAAGCGUUAUCCGGAAUUAUUGGGCGUAAAGAGCUUGUAGGUGGUUUGUCGCGUCUGCUGUGAAAACCCGAGGCUCAACCUCGGGCGUGCAGUGGGUACGGGCAGACUAGAGUGUGGUAGGGGAGAUUGGAACUCCUGGUGUAGCGGUGRAAUGCGCAGAUAUCAGGAAGAACACCGAUGGCGAAGGCAGAUCUCUGGGCCRUUACUGACACUGAGGAAGCGAAAGGRUGGGGUAGCAAACAGGAUUAGAUACCUGGUAGUCCAUGCCGUAAACGUUGGAACUAGUUGUGGGGUACAUUCCACGKSUUCCGUGACGUAKAACGCAUUAAGU